AACGAACGCUGGCGGCGCGUCUUACACAUGCAAGUCGAACGGCAGGAAGGGGCUUGCCCCUUCUGAGAGUGGCGGACUGGUGAGUAACACGUGGGUGACAUACCUUUUAGUUGGGGAUAGCUAUUAGAAAUAGUAGGUAAUACCGAAUGUGACCGUACCUGUUAGAGGGGUACGAGGAGAGGAGCUAAGGCUUCGCUAAAAGAAUGGCUCGCGGCCCAUUAUGCUCGUUGGUGAGGUAACGGCCCACCAAGGCGAUGAUGGGUAUCCGGCCUGAGAGGGUGAACGGACACAUUGGGACUGAGAUACGGCCCAGACUUCUACGGGAGGCAGCAGUUAAGAAUAUUCCGCAAUGGACGAAAGUCUGACGGAGCGACGCCGCGUGGAUGAAGAAUGCCGAAAGGUUGUAAAAUCCUUUUAAGCCUGAUGAAUAAGCACAGUAGGGAAUGAUUGUGCGGUGACCGUAGGGCUUGAAUAAGCACCGGCUAAUUACGUG
rnacentral:rRNA from 1 species